CUGAUUUUAGCGCACAGCUCCGAAGGCACUCCCUGCCCAUUGUUCUGCAUGCCCCAGGCCAGAGCUGGCUGCACAACGCCGACAUCUGCGCUCGCUCUGUGCGUUCCUCAUACCACGGGGGGAUGGAAACAUCUGGGGGAAGGAUGGAGCGAGCCCUGCAGAAGGAGGAAGGUGAUGUGGAACAGAUGCCGGGAGCCGGCAGAGCCUUUGGAAGGGCUGCGUGCGUGCACGCAUGUGUGCAAGAGCUUCGUGGCUUCUGCUGGGAGAAGGGAGCUGCCCCGCUGCCUGCCACCCAGGGAGCGAGCCGCCCCACUGCGACAGGAGCUGGGCUGCCGUGCCAGGAGGUCACACGUUUCUCAAAGCUGCCGGAAGGCGGACAGCUUUGCAGCCAAGCAGAUGCUGCGUGCGCGGUGCUCACCCGCCCCGGGGAGCUGCGGGAGGGCCCCUCGCAGCCACGCAACCGGCACAGCGCGUGCUUUGGGACACCAAACAGCAAAGCCACAGAGCCUCAGCGUGUUGGGGUUGUGCGUUCAGAGGGAACCUGCACCUUCUGGACUCACCAAACGGCAGCCAAACCCGCGAGCCGAGCGCGGCAGCCCGCCAGCCCCUUGGAUUUGCUCUGUUACAAAUUACACACAGCCCGGGCAGGCAGGGCCUCUGCUCUUUGAAAACCUAUCCCUCGGUGUUUAUUAUAGAAACCAGUUGCCCUAUCUGUUGACAGCCAAAUUGCAAAAGGCCCCGCUGGAACCGCCGCCCCCCGUGCUCCCCUUCUGCCUGGGAUGCCUUUAUCUCAAUGGGCUUUGAGGUGCUGUGCUCGGGGACAGGGCUGCACAGCCACCCCCCGGUGCCACCAAGCACUCUCAGCAUGGAGAAAGCUCACCUGAAUGAUUGCAGUGCCACAAAGAGGACAGAAGGCUUCGCCGGUGUCUGCCUGCUGACUGAAGCUGUCAUUAUCAGCUCAAUAAAUCUCUGGCGCGGGUUUUAUUGAAUCGCUGCCUGAGGGGGAACAAGCCUGUAAAGGUUGAGGAGAGCAGAGCUUUCCCACGCCUGAGACACGCUGCCGGAGCUCUUGCACACAUUCCGGGCCUGCCAGCACUCCGCAAAUGUUUGGACAGCCUUGAACAAAUAACACACCUUUAAAGAGGCCAGCAUGAAAUUCUUCCUCACCCCUCGGCCGCCCUCCCGCUGCCUCGUGCCCCCCCCCCCAGCACCCCGCAGUGCUCCAUGUGUGUGUGCGCGCGGGGUUUAUUUUAGGCUCGUGGCCGUGCUCCAGUUUCGGGGAGGAGGAUGGAGGAUGGGGAUGGGAGGAGGUCUGGCUUUUCCUCCCACAGGUAGGAAACGGCUCCAGGCUGUGAUUUGGGGGAUGCCAAUGCUUUUUUUAUCUGUAUUCUCUCUGUUGCAUCUCAUGCUCUGCUCCGUGCCCCGUGGCACAGCGCAGGGGAUGGAGCCAGGAUUCGCCCCAGCGUGGCGGUGGGGCCGAGGGGAGCCUCAGCAAGGAUUAAUGGAGCAGCCAGCUGCCUGCCUGCUGAGUUCUGGGAAUGUCAAACACUGCAGCCAUCUCAACAGCUCCUAAAAUUCCCCCUGACUCGUUUCCUGUUGCUGCUUUCCCGAUGCUGAAAGGCUCGGGCUCCCGUGGAUUAAAAAAAAAAUAAGAGAAUUGGAGGGGUUCCAGAAUUUAGGUUUCUGCCUCCUCCAUCUUCCCUGUCAACGCGUCGUUAAAUAAGAAGCAGGAACGCUGUAUUCGCCGUGCGCUCCUCACCAAAGGGCUGAGCGAAAAUCCUGCUGGAUGCAGCAGGUGACAGUCGGGUUCCCUGCUCCCAGGGUCUGUCCCCGUGUGCCAUACCCGAGCAGAGGGCGGGAGGAGCUGCACAGACCAUGACUUGGCUCCCUUUGGGGAAGCAGAGGCACACCUGAGGCGGGGAUGCUGCAAGGGGCAGGCAGCAAGCUGCUGCACGCACCCACUGACAACCAGCCGCACCUCGGGCGAGGUCAACAGUGAACGUAGGAUGGGAAGAGCGAAGGUUGAGCAGCACGGCGCAGGGCUGGGUGCAAGGUCCAUUGCCAGCAUGCUCAUAAAGUGUGGAUAAGGGAGUGGUUUCCAGCUGAGAAAACCUCUCACGUUGGUUUAGAGGCCACCCAGGUGUCCCCAGGUUGGAGGGGGCCAUGUGUCACCCGAGGCACGCAGCAAGGAGGAGGCUCUGCUGUGCUUUGGUUCUGCAUUGGAAAGGCUUUGCAGACGCAUUGCUGGGAUGGGGUGGGUGGUCAAUGCUUCCUUCCUCGUGACCACACCCGCACGGAUUUGAGUCACUGUGGGAUGAUGCCAAGCAGAGGUUGGGCUGUGCUCUUCUCUCCCAAAAGCCCUUGGGGGGGUUGGGUGCAUCCCAGGAACCACAGCGGGGUUUGGAGCGUCCCACCACUUGCUGUGGCUUGGCUGGUUUGGCCAAGGUCUCAGCCCGGCUUGCUGGUGCAGCUGCCCCCUAAAAAAAGCACAGGAACCACCAGUUUGCAGCAGGAGGCAGAUCAAACCUCCUGUUUGCUUUCAAGCCUUCAAUUGUCCGUUAGCAAAGUGCACACCACAGAAUGGGUGGCCCCUUUCCUGGAGAAGCUGUGAAAACCUGCUCGGUUCCUGUGCUAGGAAAGCAAACAAACAAACACGACCCGGCGCUGGGUUUCAGCACACCAGAGCAUCUGGAAGCAAACCCCGAGCCCCUGCCUUGCUGAUAAGAGCCAGCUCCAUUGCCCACCGAUGGGAGAACCUGGGGAUGUAAUUAGAGAUGCGAAGCGCUCGAAACAAAGGGCGAAAAGCAAUCAGCGAAAGAGGAGGGGGAGAGCUGUGAAGAAAGCAGGGCAACAACCAUGGCCAACAGACCCAUGAGGACACGUGAGUGCUGGCUGCCCAUCUCCCUGAGCUCAUUUCGUGGUCCUACAGCGGGAAGAAGACAAGAGGGUUCCAUACCACGGGACAUGACUUUGCCUUCCAACCAUUGGAUGAUGCCAACGUCCCCUUGGAGGUCAGUUCGGACGAGGUGCCAAGAGCACAGACACACUCUGGAAAUCUCAUUCCACACACCCACCCCUCCUCCCUCCUCGUUAUCCUUUAACUUCCCAAGGCGACCCGUCCCCCUGUUUGCUUGUGGCUGCCACCGCGCCGCAUCGCUUGGCCCUGAGGUCACUGGGGAUUGACACCUUCACCCAAAGCCCCGGAUUCCACCCUGCCCUCCUUAGAGAUGCACCAGGCUGUCAGUAACGAGGCCACAGGUUUAUUCAGUGGAGAUCCCCAGAUCUCAAAAGAUAAUCUGGGAAUAAUUGGGACUUAAGGAACUUGUGUGAAUCUGAUUUUUCUGCGGCGCUGCCAUUCACGAAACAGAUGGACAUCUUAUUUCUCCCUAAUUUGAUGGGCUUUCUUGACAAAAUGGCAGAGGUUGCACUUUGCUACAAUAAUAACCUGCCACUCAGACUUUGUAAGGGGUUUGUGUAGAUUUCUUCUUAAUUAGACCGUGUCUCGCUAUCGGCGAGCUGCGUGCGUGUGUGCAGAGCAGGGAGAUGGGGAGCAGCUCCUCUGCAUGACAGAGCCUGCAAAAGAGUGGGGAGGAAUCAGGGGGCUUUCAUGUUUGUGUCACUGGCUGCUUUUUUUUUUUUUUUUUUUUUUUUUUAAGUCUCAUUUGGAAAAUAAAGAUUGGGAUGUGAGCUCAUUGUCUGGAUGAUAAUGUAUUCAUGGAUUUGCUCCCUCUCGCCCUGCAACCGAACAACAGUGCUGGGGCAGCUUCCAGGUUGGGGAGCAAGCCUGAAGGCACUGCAAACCCUUGGGAUUACUCUCAGGUUUGCAAAAACCACUUUUCACUUGCAAAAGAUUCCCAGUGCUGCCGUUUAACCCCCGACCUCCUAUUCUGCCUCCCUUUCCCUCCCAGCCCCUAGCAAAGUGGAUCCUUUGGUCAAGGCAUGGAACUGGGUCUACUCCAGCACCCCACUGUCAGCCAGCAGCACGCUUUCCUUGCUAUCCACUGUGCAAGGAAAAAGCAAUUGGGAACUUUUUGAUUACUCAGAUCCUUAAUUGAGCUCUGAUGUCUGGUUACGGUACCAAACAAAACUCAUCCACAAAUAGAAAUUGUUGGGUUGAGUGUUAUUUUUGCUCAUCUCGCUUUUGUGCCUUUAGAGAUAGGGCCCUUAGCUCAUCUCUGGAUGACACUGUCCAGGUCUGGUACAAAAUCC